rnacentral:rRNA from 1 species
CCUACGGGUGACAGCAGUGGGGAAUAUUGCACAAUGGGGGAAACCCUGAUGCAGCAACGCCGCGUGGGUGAAGGAGCGUUUCGGCGCGUAAAGCCCUGUCAGCGGGGAAGAAGACAGACGGUACCCGACCAAGAAGCCCCGGCUAACUACGUGCCAGCAGCCGCGGUAAUACGUAGGGGGCGAGCGUUAUCCGGAUUCACUGGGUGUAAAGGGAGCGUAGACGGCCAAGCAAGCCAGGGGUGAAAGCCCGGGGCCCAACCCCGGGACUGCCCUUGGAACUGCAUGGCUGGAGUGCGGGAGGGGCAGGCGGAAUUCCUGGUGUAGCGGUGAAAUGCGUAGAUAUCAGGAGGAACACCGGCGGCGAAGGCGGCCUGCUGGACCGCGACUGACGUUGAGGCUCGAAAGCGUGGGGAGCGAACAGGAUUAGAUACCCUAGUAGUC